UGGGGAAUAUUGCACAAUGGGCGCAAGCCUGAUGCAGCCAUGCCGCGUGUAUGAAGAAGGCCUUCGGGUUGUAAAGUACUUUCAGCGGGGAGGAAGGGAGUAAAGUUAAUACCUUUGCUCAUUGACGUUACCCGCAGAAGAAGCACCGGCUAACUCCGUGCCAGCAGCCGCGGUAAUACGGAGGGUGCAAGCGUUAAUCGGAAUUACUGGGCGUAAAGCGCACGCAGGCGGUUUGUUAAGUCAGAUGUGAAAUCCCCGGGCUCAACCUGGGAACUGCAUCUGAUACUGGCAAGCUUGAGUCUCGUAGAGGGGGGUAGAAUUCCAGGUGUAGCGGUGAAAUGCGUAGAGAUCUGGAGGAAUACCGGUGGCGAAGGCGGCCCCCUGGACGAAGACUGACGCUCAGGUGCGAAGGCGUGGGGGGCAAACAGG
rnacentral:rRNA from 1 species